UAUUGGUCAAUAGCCUAACGGCUGAACCAGCAACUUGGAGGAAUGUAUAGGGAAAACUGGUAAAAUGUGAUGUACCUAGUAGUAUUAGUAAUUAAUAUGANAUUAACUAAGUUAAUUAAAAUUCUAAGUAGAUAUGUGAUUAUGACAAUGUCUGCUUAAGUCUUGACCAAGUCACGUGCCAGCAGUCGCGGUAAUACGUGGGAGACAAGUGUUAUUCAUCUUUAACAGGUUUAAAGAGUACCUAGACAGUUAAUUAAGCAAUUAAAUGUACUAAUUAACUAGAGUUUGAUGAAAGAAGAAUUUAGUACAGUGAGUGGAGAGAUAGAAUUCUGUGAUACCAUUUAGGAACUGGUAAGGGCGAAGGCAACCUUCAAUGUAAAAACUGACGUUGAGGUACGAAGG
rnacentral:rRNA from 1 species